rnacentral:rRNA from 1 species
UACGUAGGGCGCAAGCGUUGUCCGGAAUUAUUGGGCGUAAAGAGCUCGUAGGCGGUUUGUCGCGUCUGUCGUGAAAGCCCACGGCUUAACUGUGGGUCUACGGUGGAUACGGGCAGACUAGAGGCAGGUAGGGGAGAAUGGAAUUCCCGGUGUAGCGGUGAAAUGCGCAGAUAUCGGGAGGAACACCGGUGGCGAAGGCGGUUCUCUGGGCCUGUACUGACGCUGAGGAGCGAAAGCGUGGGGAGCGAACAGG